rnacentral:rRNA from 1 species
GGAGAGUUGUUGUUGUGUUAUAGAGCUAAUGCAGUCGAGCGAGCUUGCCUAGAUGAUUUUAGUGCUUGCACUAAAUGAAACUAGAUACAAGCGACCGUCGGACGGGUGAGUAACACGUGGGUAACCUGCCCAAGAGACUGGGAUAACACCUGGAAACAGAUGCUAAUACCGGAUAACAACACUAGACGCAUGUCUAGAGUUUGAAAGAUGGUUCUGCUAUCACUCUUGGAUGGACCUGCGGUGCAUUAGCUAGUUGGUAAGGUAACGGCUUACCAAGGCAAUGAUGCAUAGCCGAGUUGAGAGACUGAUCGGCCACAUUGGGACUGAGACACGGCCCAAACUCCUACGGGAGGCAGCAGUAGGGAAUCUUCCACAAUGGACGAAAGUCUGAUGGAGCAACGCCGCGUGAGUGAAGAAGGGUUUCGGCUCGUAAAGCUCUGUUGGUAGUGAAGAAAGAUAGAGGUAGUAACUGGCCUUUAUUUGACGGUAAUUACUUAGAAAGUCACGGCUAACUACGUGCCAGCAGCCGCGGUAAUACGUAGGUGGCAAGCGUUGUCCGGAUUUAUUGGGCGUAAAGCGAGUGCAGGCGGUUCAAUAAGUCUGAUGUGAAAGCCUUCGGCUCAACCGGAGAAUUGCAUCAGAAACUGUUGAACUUGAGUGCAGAAGAGGAGAGUGGAACUCCAUGUGUAGCGGUGGAAUGCGUAGAUAUAUGGAAGAACACCAGUGGCGAAGGCGGCUCUCUGGUCUGCA